UGGGGAAUAUUGCACAAUGGGCGCAAGCCUGAUGCAGCCAUGCCGCGUGUAUGAAGAAGGCCUUCGGGUUGUAAAGUACUUUCAGUCGGGAGGAAGGUGGUAAGGUUAAUAACCUUAUCAAUUGACGUUACCGACAGAAGAAGCACCGGCUAACUCCGUGCCAGCAGCCGCGGUAAUACGGAGGGUGCAAGCGUUAAUCGGAAUUACUGGGCGUAAAGCGCACGCAGGCGGUUGAUUGAGUCAGAUGUGAAAUCCCCGGGCUUAAACCGGGAAAUGCAUCUGGUAAUGGGCAAGUAGAGGUUUGUAGAGGGGGGGAAGAUUUCAUGUGUAAGGGGGAAAAAGGUUAGAAAGUGGGGGAAAACCGGGGGGGAAAGCGGCCCCCUGGACAAAGAAUUACGCUCAGGUGGGAAAACGUUGGGAGGAAACAGG
rnacentral:rRNA from 1 species